UUUCCGUAGGUGAACCUGCGGAAGGAUCAUUACCUUUCAAUGCAGCAGAAUGGGGAUGGUUGAGUUUCUCGCCUCUCUGUUCUGCCUGUAUUCUACCCUUGUUUGUCAUAUACUAUUAUUUCCUCGGCAGGCUUGCUUGCCGAGUGAAACCAAUUAUAACCUAUUUAAUUUUCAAUCAGCGUCUGAACAAAAUUAAUAAUUACAACUUUCAACAACGGAUCUCUUGGUUCUG
rnacentral:misc_RNA from 1 species